UGGGGAAUUUUGGACAAUGGGGGCAACCCUGAUCCAGCAAUGCCGCGUGAGUGAAGAAGGCCUUCGGGUUGUAAAGCUCUUUUGUCAGGGAAGAAACGGUAGUAGCGAAUAACUAUUACUAAUGACGGUACCUGAAGAAUAAGCACCGGCUAACUACAUGCCAGCAGCCGCGGUAAUACGUAGGGUGCAAGCGUUAAUCGGAAUUACUGGGCGUAAAGCGUGCGCAGGCGGUUGUGUAAGUCAGAUGUGAAAUCCCCGGGCUCAACCUGGGAAUUGCAUUUGAGACUGCACGGCUAGAGUGUGUCAGAGGGGGGUAGAAUUCCACGUGUAGCAGUGAAAUGCGUAGAUAUGUGGAGGAAUACCGAUGGCGAAGGCAGCCCCCUGGGAUAACACUGACGCUCAUGCACGAAAGCGUGGGGAGCGAAACAGGAUUAGAUACCCUAGUAGUCCCUGAGCGGGCUGGCAAGGCGCAU
rnacentral:rRNA from 1 species